rnacentral:rRNA from 1 species
ACCCGCUGAACUUAAGCAUAUCAAUAAGCGGAGGAAAAGAAACCAACAGGGAUUGCCCUAGUAACGGCGAGUGAAGCGGCAACAGCUCAAAUUUGAAAUCUGGCUCUUUUAGAGUCCGAGUUGUAAUUUGCAGAGGGCGCUUUGGCUUUGGCAGCGGUCCAAGUUCCUUGGAACAGGACGUCACAGAGGGUGAGAAUCCCGUACGUGGUCGCUGGCUAUUGCCGUGUAAAGCCCCUUCGACGAGUCGAGUUGUUUGGGAAUGCAGCUCUAAAUGGGAGGUACAUUUCUUCUAAAGCUAAAUACUGGCCAGAGACCGAUAGCGCACAAGUAGAGUGAUCGAAAGAUGAAAAGCACUUUGGAAAGAGAGUCAAACAGCACGUGAAAUUGUUGAAAGGGAAGCGCUUGCAGCCAGACUUGCCUGUAGUUGCUCAUCCGGGCUUUUGCCCGGUGCACUCUUCUAUAGGCAGGCCAGCAUCAGUUUGGGCGGUUAGAUAAAGGUCUCUGUCAUGUACCUCUCUUCGGGGAGAACUUAUAGGGGAGACGACAUGUAACCAGCCCAGAUUGAGGUCCGCGCAUUUGCUAGGAUGCUGGCGUAAUGGCUGU